GGGGAUGGCGUGCGGUGUGCUGGCGACGGCUGGCUCACACACGCAUGCGCACCAACAGCUGGAAGAAGGCAGAGCGGGCAUACCACCUUCAGAGUGCGGACGUGUCGUUGCUCAGCGGCCUGCGUUCUACACUUGGUCUUCAUCGUUGGGUCUUGAGACGGCGUGAAUGAUGGCCGAUUGACAACGCGCGUCCCUCUUCCACGCCCAUGAUGAAGACGAGAAACUAGUACUCGGCCGUGUGAAGCGUCGACUUUGACCGUGAGGACUAACUAGCUAAGUGGAUGAGUGACGACCGAUGCUGUCUCCUUUGUUGGGGGCGGAAAGUGACCUAUACACCUGCUUGCUGGCUGGUGAUGUAACAUCUUGAACUCUGGAGGUGUUCUGGGACAGCAAAACGUCUCUCACAAACAAUAAAAUAGUUGACAGGC